UCUUAGUUGGCAUAUACUCAAGGA
rnacentral:miRNA from 1 species